rnacentral:rRNA from 1 species
GACGAACGCUGGCGGCGUGCUUAACACAUGCAAGUCGAGCGGUAAGGCUCCUUCGGGAGUACACGAGCGGCGAACGGGUGAGUAACACGUGAGCAAUCUGCCCUUCACUUUGGGAUAACUUCCGGAAACGGGAGCUAAUACCGAAUACGACCACUUCCGGCAUCGGAUGGGGGUGGAAAGUUCCGGCGGUGAAGGAUGAGCUCGCGGCCUAUCAGCUUGUUGGUGAGGUAACGGCUCACCAAGGCUUCGACGGGUAGCCGGCCUGAGAGGGUGACCGGCCGCACUGGGACUGAGACACGGCCCAGACUCCUACGGGAGGCAGCAGUGGGGAAUAUUGGACAAUGGGCGAAAGCCUGAUCCAGCAACGCCGCGUGAGGGAUGACUGCCUUCGGGUUGUAAACCUCUUUCAGCGGGGACGAAGCGAAAGUGACGGUACCCGCAGAAGAAGCACCGGCCAACUACGUGCCAGCAGCCGCCGUAAAAC